GAUGAACGCUGACAGAAUGCUUAACACAUGCAAGUCGAUGGGGAAGUGGUGCUUGCACCAUGGUAACCAUGGCGGACGGGUGAGUAACGCGUAAGGAACUUGCCUGCGGGACUGGGAUAACAGCAGGAAACUGCUGAUAAUACCGGAUAAGGUCAUUAAGCUGCAUAGCUUAGUGAUGAAAGGAGACGCCUUCGGAGAGCCUUGCGUCCUAUUAGCUAGUUGGAGGGGUAACGGCCCACCAAGGCGAAGAUAGGUAGCCGGCCUGAGAGGGUGGACGGCCACAAGGGGACUGAGAUACGGCCCUUACUCCUACGGGAGGCAGCAGUGGGGAAUAUUGGACAAUGGGGGCAACCCUGAUCCAGCAAUUCUGUGUGCACGAAGACGGUUUUCGGAUUGUAAAGUGCUUUCAGCAGGGAAGAAGGAAGUGACGGUACCUGCAGAAGAAGCGACGGCUAAAUACGUG
rnacentral:rRNA from 1 species